AGAAUGGAUAACCCGACAUUUUGGAUCUAAGCGGCGAGCGGCGGGAGGUUUUGACGGCGAGCUGCCGGCAGCUGCUGCUGGACACGGAUGCGUGUGGCACUGGUGGUGCCCCGUUUGCCGGAGGCAGCACCGAGGCGAGCGGUCGGUGCUGCAAGAGGCUUCACGGCGGGUGGCGGCCUCUUCGGCGGUGACAGUGUGGCGACCCGCCUCCAUCCCCCGCUCCCUUCCUUGCCCGUGGCGAUGGACGAGGACCAUGGCCCGACCUCCUUCUCCAUAAACCGCACCCACGCUCCCCUAUUUUGGCCGCUGGACUCUCGUCGCCACGGCGGCGGCGGCCCCUGCCUCCACUCCACGCUCCUCUUCUCUUCGUCGCGCACGGCGGCAUAAGGAGGGGUUCUGAUGGGAGCAAGGCUUGCGACCCCUCCGUCACAACUGCUCCGGAGCCCGGACAAAGCCGAGGCCGUCUCUGUGAACUCUCCAGCGAGCUGACCAUUGCCCUCCUCCAUCUAAGAUGCAAGGUAGCAGCAGCAACACAGGUUCCAUGGCCUCUGUCGCAUAGCUGCCACCCAAGCCGUCCCCAGGGUGCGGUGGUGGUUGGCAUUCUGUUUGAUGCGGGCUGCAUCUACUCCCACGACAACGGUCAGCAACUAGGUGUUCACCAUCGGAGUUCUUCAGUAUCGUCCCCUCUCCGUCAUUAGCAAAAUUCAGGAUUGGCGAGAAGAAAAGUGAACAUAAAGGCUUCAGAUCUAUUAAUAGGAUACGAUGUUGCUUCCAACUCAUGGAUAUGAAUGUUCCAGUCGCCGGAGAGAUUGUUGGACAGAUGAAAUUGAUGAGAAAUCUUUGCCCCCCUGCAAAUUAAGCAGCUUGAAGACCAAGCUCAAACCUGUACGAUGGCACUGAAGUUGCGCCUCCAAAUCUCUUUGCAUCUUGAUGUAAUUAGCCCAGUAGUAUUCAGUUCUGUAGUAAUGAUUU
rnacentral:rRNA from 1 species